rnacentral:rRNA from 1 species
UUGCCCUUGUAGUCAUAUGCUUGUCUCAAAGAUUAAGCCAUGCAUGUCUAAGUAUAAGCAAUUUAUACGGUGAAACUGCGAAUGGCUCAUUAAAUCAGUUAUCGUUUAUUUGAUAGUACCUUACUACAUGGAUACCUGUGGUAAUUCCAGAGCUAAUACAUGCUAAAAACCUCGACUUCGGGAGGGGUGUAUUUAUUAGAUAAAAAACCAAUGCCCUUCGGGGCUCCUUGGUGAAUCAUAAUAACUUAACGAAUCGCAUGGCCUUGCGCCGGCGAUGGUUCAUUCAAAUUUCUGCCCUAUCAACUUUCGAUGGUAGGAUAGUGGCCUACCAUGGUGGCAACGGGUAACGGGGAAUAAGGGC